rnacentral:misc_RNA from 1 species
UUUUUUUUUUUUUUUUUGUAAGUGGAUUGUCUAUGAUUCUUUUGCAACAACAAGCCUUAAUCCUAAAAUGGAUCCUUUUAUUAAGAAAUAAUGCUUUGAUUUUUGGGGAAUGGAAUAUCUUAUGGAUUUUGGUAUCUGCAACUAAGUAUAUCUGACUAAUUAAGUGAUUCAGCAGCAUGUUGGGGAAAAGGGAUAAUUGGGGUAACUUUUCUGCUUAGGCAAGAACAGGAAGAUGGUGUUGCUUAUUUGGUGAGUUACGUAGUUUUUGUUUGGGUUUCUGUUUAAUGGGAAAUAAAAAUAAUACAAUUGGGAGAUAGAUUGUAUCUUUUUUUUUUCUUUGUUAAAAUAUUUUUUUCAUUGAGGAUGAAUCGACUGUUUCUCCUUUUUCCAUUAAGAUAUCAUGGAAACUCACAAUGCCAUAGCUGCUAAUUUAACUAUAUUUUAUGUUGAUUUCUUAAACCAUAUAAUAGAAGAAUUAAGGAUAUGUCUUGAUCUGGGAAGUUCAGACCUUCCUAGUAAGUCUCUUACUUGCACCAUGCAAAUAACAUGUUCUAUUGUAUGAUGUUAUGAUAUGCAGCAAGUAGCUGGACAAGAAAUUGUGGAAGUUGUGGUUGAGUUUGGAAAUUUUUGCUGCAAAGAAAAUGUUUGAUGGAUGGAACAAAGCAGGCCUGGAAAUUUCAUCGAAGUAGUCCAGUGCCCUCUAAUGAUCCUUGGAAGUUGGAAGAAUAGCUUUUUUGUUUAGUUAAUUGAUUAUUGUCCAUGUGCCUAACAUAACACCGGAAGAUUUCCUAGAUCUUAGCAUCAGUCAAGAACUUGGUCUUUUCUAAAGUGCAUGCAUUAGUUUAUGCUGUCAUCCAUCAGUUUAAGUAUUGGUAUAGGAUAAGUACUCAAAUGCCUUUUUCCCCAAUUUUUGCAGGUAUGACUACUCUGGCUAUGGACAAUCAUCAGGCAAGCCCACUGAGCACAAUACUUAUGCUGAUAUUGAAGCUGCUUAUAAGUGUCUUGAAGAGAGCUAUGGUACCAAGCAGGAGAAUAUCAUCCUUUAUGGUCAAUCUGUUGGUAGUGGGCCUACUUUGGAUCUUGCUGCACGUUUACCUCGGCUAAGAGCUGUUGUCCUGCACAGUCCUAUACUAUCAGGGUUAAGAGUCAUGUAUCCUGUGAAGCGCACAUUCUGGUUUGAUAUCUACAAGAACGUAGACAAGAUUCCAUUGGUGAAGUGUCCUGUGCUGGUUAUCCAUGUAAGUAUGCUGUUGGUUGUUUCAAUUAUAUAAUGUGGAAUAUCUUAGUGCCCUUGGGUGAUCUUGAGUGCAUUAUCAUAUGUAUAUAAUUUGUACCUAUCAGUAGAAAACACAUAGAUCCAAAGAAAAAGACCAUUAACAUAUUUUUACAGCAUAAGACACAAGAAAAUUAGCAACCUUCACUUUGGAGCAGAAUCAACAUUGAUCCACCAUACUUUGAAAUUGUCAUGAUGCUUUGAAAAAAAUUAAAAUAAAAACCUUUAAGAGCCGAAAUUGUAACUGUUGGGGUGGGUUUGGAUUUAAGUGGUCCCUUUGUAGCCUUCUGUAAGACCUGUUGACUCUUUUCUUUGGUGUUCUUGUUCCCAUGAUGUGAUCAAUUUAGGUUGUGAGCCUGCUUAGAGUCUUUGUAUUAAAGUAUUAAUUGUUCUGCUUUGCCUGCUUUCUUACAGGGAACAUCUGAUGAAGUAGUUGACUGUUCUCAUGGAAAGCAGCUCUGGGAAUUGUGCCAGGAGAAAUAUGAACCACUAUGGCUGAAAGGAGGAAAUCACUGUAAUUUAGAGCUGUAUCCAGAAUAUCUAAGGCAUCUGAAGAAGUUCAUAUCAACAGUUGAGAAAUCACCCUUGCGAAGAAAUGCUGGUAGGAGAAGUACAGAUGGAAUUGAACAGCCUAGACGGAGUACUGAUUGUUUUGAUGCACCGAGGAAGAGUACAGAUCGGAGGGAGAAACCAAGAAAAAGCACCGAUAGAACUGAAAAACUGAAGUUUCAUGAAUACAAAUUUACCAAUAUUGACAAGCUAGAAAAGUUAAGGAUCCCCUUUGACCAAAUGGAGAGGUCACGGAGAAGUGUGGAAUACCAUGAGAAGUCUCGGAAGAGCAUUGACCUACAGCUAGAAAAGGCACGGAAAAGUGUUGAUUGGCUGGAUAGGAUUCGUGCUGGAUAAGAAUGCCAAAUCCUUUGUAAAAUUUGUGCACUAGAUUGAUUUUAGAGGGGACAGGGAAAGUGGGAAAAAAAGGGGAAUUAUUUGGUAUUUAACUUGUGAUUUCAGUGUGUGUGGCUUGCUCAUUGAAGUUGCAUAAUAACUGUGUAAUGGGAUUGUAGAUGUUUGAUAUAUUGGGUGGGAUUUGUUAUCCUUAGUUAAUGGAAGAAUUCUAACCUCUUUAUUAUACAUUGUUCAAAAGGAAAUGAAGCUCACAGGUUAU